UACGAAGGGUGCAAGCGUUACUCGGAAUCACUGGGCGUAAAGCGCACGUAGGCGGAUUGCUAAGUCAGGGGUGAAAUCCUGGAGCUCAACUCCAGAACUGCCUUUGAUACUGGCGAUCUUGAGUCCGGGAGAGGUGAGUGGAACUGCGAGUGUAGAGGUGAAAUUCGUAGAUAUUCGCAAGAACACCAGUGGCGAAGGCGGCUCACUGGCCCGGUACUGACGCUGAGGUGCGAAAGCGUGGGGAGCGAACAGG
rnacentral:rRNA from 1 species